UACGGAGGGGGCAAGCGUUGUUCGGAAUCAUUGGGCGUAAAGGGCGCGUAGGCGGCCUGCCAAGUCGGGUGUGAAAUCCCUCGGCUCAACCGAGGAACUGCACUCGAUACUGGCUGGCUAGAGUCCGGGAGGGGAUGGUGGAAUUCCCAGUGUAGCGGUGAAAUGCGUAGAUAUUGGGAAGAACACCGGUGGCGAAGGCGGCCAUCUGGACCGGAACUGACGCUGAGGCGCGAAAGCCAGGGGAGCGAAUGGG
rnacentral:rRNA from 1 species